rnacentral:tRNA from 1 species
UCUCGAGUAGUAUAGUGGUGAGUAUCCCCGCCUGUCAUGUGCAGAACGCGGGAGACCGGGGUUCAAUUCCCCGCUCGAGAG